CACACAUUAGACUCUGCAUUGCUAAGGCUGACAGAAAUAGUAAGAAACAUACAGAAAGAUACAAGGAUUUAAGAGAAAGUACAGAAGGAGAAACUGACAAAGGAAUUGUCUGGGCGUGCCUGGCUCAAGUCAGACGUCGGCAGCUUGGGGAGCAGGUAUGGGCUGCUGCUACAGCACUAGAGAGGAAGGCGAUGAGAAGCACAGAACCAACGGCUGUAAAGAAUGUUGCUUGAAGACCCGAAACUGUCUGCUCAGCCGGGAGUGUUCUCAGGCUUUAAACAUCGCCAGCGUCUGUGCCCAGUGUGGCAUAUGCAUACGAAUGUGGACAUAGUCAUUUCUAUGAUGUCUGCUCUGAGCUGUUCGAAUCGUGAUUUGAAGGCUAGAAUUACAUCUUCAAGUGCCCAGAGAAUACAACAGAGCUCAGAUGGAAUAAACAGAAAUACCAUCUACAUAAAUCCCUGAUGUAUGAGAGGCUGAGCAUCUAACUUCAGAAUAAAGACUCCUCCUCACAUGUCACUAUGCUGUUUUCUACAUGAGAUAUACUGUGCAGUUUCCCAUGUCCUAAUAUAUCUUACUGAAGAGCAAGGAGAAUGAAUUUCAGAUUUAAACAUGGGUUCAAAAUUUAAACAUAGAACUGUUGGCAUUAAUUGGUUGUCAUGAUAUCAGCAGAAAACCAAAGAUUCAAUGGAUUUAUACUGGCGUGUUGUGAAGUGAUGUAGAGAGUCUGAAUGUUGUUUUCAGUUCAUGUCUUAUUGUCCUGCUCACUCUGACUUAAUGAUCGUUCCUGGUACCUAGAAGACAUCGUAGAUCAAAGACAGCAACAUGGUCAAGCGGAGAUGUUUGUAUCAUGUGUCUCCCGUUCUCUGUAGUUCCCAUUAUUAAGUAACCAGGCUGUCGUCCACACUUGGAUGAAGGAGACUCUGCUCUGCAAACUAACGUACCCUAUGUUAAGUAUUCACCUCUGACUAAAGGAACUGACUUUAGUUGACUUUAACUGACUCCCAACUGUUGUACGUGGAACAAAUGUAAAAAUGUACCAUAGAUACUUACCUGUGAAAGCUCAGACAGGCUUAAAUGGAGAAAGAAAAACAAAUUCUCCGUUGUUAACUGUGUGUGAAUGAACAUUUACAAGGUGAUAUCAAUACCUUCAAAGGAAGAGCUCUUGUUGUGGCAUUUGAGGACGUGCAUGGAAACUGUGAUGUCAAAUCUACAAAUAUCUGAUAAUUCUGUUGCAAAAGAAAUAUUCAUCCCAGACAAGAGGUGGCAUACUGUAUCAGCAAUGAGUUCAUUCGGCUGGUUGUGGUUAAUUAUAUACAAUGGAGCCAGUGUUUGCAGGUACAGUGACUCUCAAACUGCUUCUCCAGUCACAUUAGUGAAAAGUGACAUAAAGAUGUAGGAUUUUUAACCCAGCAACUGCUUGCCAACGUUUGUGCUGGUGAACAUGUAUUUAAUUGGUCACUGAAGUCCUAAAGGGCUGGAUCCAGAGUUUUAAGAGCUCUUUGAUCAACUACAUUCUUUUAUAACAAAACUGAAAAACAUUCUUACCUUUAUGCAAGCAGUUCCGAGUGAUGCCUUUUAACUGGAUUUGCAUUUGCUUACACUGCUGUUUAUUUUUGCA